UACGGGGGGGGCAAGCGUUGUUCGGAAUUACUGGGCGUAAAGGGCUCGUAGGCGGCCAACUAAGUCAGACGUGAAAUCCCCAGGCUUAACCUGGGAACUGCGUCUGAUACUGGAUGGCUUGAAUUCGGGAGAGGGAUGCAGAAUUCCAGGUGUAGCGGUGAAAUGCGCAGAUAUCAGGAGGAACACCGGUGGCGAAGGCGGGUCUCUGGGCCGAUACUGACGCUGAGGAGCGAAAGCGUGGGGAGCGAACAGG
rnacentral:rRNA from 1 species